AGAGUUUGAUCCUGGCUCAGGAUGAACGCUGGCGGUAUGCCUAACACAUGCAAGUCGAACGGACUCUUCGGAGUUAGUGGCGGACGGGUGAGUAACGCGUGAGAAUCUGGCUUCAGGUCGGGGACAACAGUUGGAAACGGCUGCUAAUACCGGAUGUGUCGAGAGGUGAAAGAUUUAUUGCCUGAAGAUGAGCUCGCGUCUGAUUAGCUAGUUGGUAGUGUAAGGGACUACCAAGGCGACGAUCAGUAGCUGGUUUGAGAGGAAGAUCAGCCACACUGGGACUGAGACACGGCCCAGACUCCUACGGGAGGCAGCAGUGGGGAAUUUUCCGCAAUGGGCGAAAGCCUGACGGAGCAAUACCGCGUGAGGGAGGAAGGCUCUUGGGUCGUAAACCUCUUUUCUCAAGGAAGAACACAAUGACGGUACUUGAGGAAUAAGCAUCGGCUAACUCCGUGCCAGCAGCCGCGGUAAUACGGAGGAUGCAAGCGUUAUCCGGAAUGAUUGGGCGUAAAGGGUCCGCAGGUGGAACUGAAAGUCUGCUGUUAAAGAAUCUGGCUCAACCAGAUAAAAGCAGUGGAAACUACAGAACUAGAGUAUGGUAGGGGUAGAAGGAAUUCCUAGUGUAGCGGUGAAAUGCGUAGAUAUUAGGAAGAACACCGGUGGCGAAAGCGUUCUACUAGACCAAGACUGACACUGAGGGACGAAAGCUAGGGGAGCGAAUGGGAUUAGAUACCCCAGUAGUCCUAGCCGUAAACGAUGGAUACUAGGCGUGGCUUGUAUCGACCCGAGCCGUGCCGGAGCCAACGCGUUAAGUAUCCCGCCUGGGGAGUACGCACGCAAGUGUGAAACUCAAAGGAAUUGACGGGGGCCCGCACAAGCGGUGGAGUAUGUGGUUUAAUUCGAUGCAACGCGAAGAACCUUACCAAGGCUUGACAUCCUGCGAAUCCCGGUGAAAGCUGGGAGUGCCUUAGGGAGCGCAGAGACAGGUGGUGCAUGGCUGUCGUCAGCUCGUGUCGUGAGAUGUUGGGUUAAGUCCCGCAACGAGCGCAACCCUCGUUUUUAGUUGCCAUCAUUAAGUUGGGCACUCUAGAGAGACCGCCGGUGACAAACCGGAGGAAGGUGAGGAUGACGUCAAGUCAGCAUGCCCCUUACGCCUUGGGCUACACACGUACUACAAUGCUACGGACAAAGGGCAGCUACACAGCGAUGUGAUGCAAAUCUCAGAAACCGUAGCUCAGUUCAGAUCGAAGGCUGCAACUCGCCUUCGUGAAGGAGGAAUCGCUAGUAAUUGCAGGUCAGCGUACUGCAGUGAAUUCGUUCCCGGGCCUUGUACACACCGCCCGUCACACCAUGGAAGUUGGUCACGCCCGAAGUCAUUACCCCAACCGCU
rnacentral:rRNA from 1 species